UAGCUGUUCUUGCUAAGUGAGGAUAUGGU
rnacentral:piRNA from 1 species